AGCGAACGCUGGCGGCAGGCUUAACACAUGCAAGUCGAGCGGGCGUAGCAAUACGUCAGCGGCAGACGGGUGAGUAACGCGUGGGAACGUACCUUUUGGUUCGGAACAACCCAGGGAAACUUGGGCUAAUACCGGAUAAGCCCUUACGGGGAAAGAUUUAUCGCCGAAAGAUCGGCCCGCGUCUGAUUAGCUAGUUGGUGAGGUAACGGCUCACCAAGGCGACGAUCAGUAGCUGGUCUGAGAGGAUGAUCAGCCACAUUGGGACUGAGACACGGCCCAAACUCCUACGGGAGGCAGCAGUGGGGAAUAUUGGACAAUGGGCGCAAGCCUGAUCCAGCCAUGCCGCGUGAGUG
rnacentral:rRNA from 1 species